rnacentral:rRNA from 1 species
CCCUUAGAUGUUCUGGGCCGCACGCGCGCUACACUGACGAUGGCAACGAGUUUUUCCUUCGCCGAAAGGUAUGGGUAAUCUUUUGAAACAUCGUCGUGCUGGGGAUAGAUCAUUGCAAUUUUUGAUCUUGAACGAGGAAUUCCUAGUAAGCGCGAGUCAUCAGCUCGCGUUGAUUACGUCCCUGCCCUUUGUACACACCGCCCGUCGCUACUACCGAUUGAAUGGUUUAGUGAGGACUCCUGAUUGGCGCCGCCGCCCCGGCAACGGAGCAGCGGACUGCCGAAAAGUUGUUCAAACUUGAUCAUUUAGAGGAAGUAAAAGUCGUAACA